UCGUAACAAGGUUUCCGCAGGUGAACCUGCGGAAGGAUCAUU
rnacentral:rRNA from 1 species